GUGAAAUUUACCUCAAAAAGUUGGUCAAAGUUGGAUUUGAGCAAGUUGAUCUUCCUCUGACAAUAGUCUUUUCCAUCAUCCAUAGUUUUCUAAUAAA